CAUUUCUAGACAUAGAUGAAUGUUUAUUAUCUGUCGAUAACUGUCUCAAAAACUCAAACUGCAGCAAUACUGAUGGAUCUUUCUUGUGUUGCAAAACUGGGUACACUGGAAAUGGAAAAGUUUGUGAAGGUAAAUAGAAGCCUUAAUUUUUUAAUACUGCAGUAUUGCAUAAGAUAGACCUACUACUUUGUUGAAAAACUUAAUGUGAUUGUUUACAAAAAAAAUAAAUUCAUUUACUCUUUCUUGAGUGUUAAUGGCAACUGUGUUAUAUAACUUUAGACAUUGAUGAAUGUUCUCUAUCUAUUGUUAACUGUCAUACAAACACCAGACAUCAAUGAGAAAACCUCAUAUUACCUUUCUAGAAAAAGCAAAACAUUUAUACACCUUCUUAAUUGUUUAUAGCGACUGAUUCUAUAAUUCUUUAGACAUCAAUGAAUGUGCUCUAUCAAUUGACAAUUGCCAUGCAAACUCAACCUGCAGCAAUAGUGACGGAUCUUUUCUAUGCGCAUGUAAUAGUGGAUAUAGUGGAAAUGGAAC